rnacentral:tRNA from 1 species
GGGCGAUUAGCUCAGUUGGCUAGAGCGCCACGCUCACAUCGUGGAGGUCACAGGUUCGAGUCCUGUAUCGCCCA